rnacentral:rRNA from 1 species
GUCCACGCAGUAAACGAUGAUAACUCGUUGUCGGCGAUACACAGUCGGUGACUAAGCGAAAGCGAUAAGUUAUCCACCUGGGGAGUACGUUCGCAAGAAUGAAACUCAAAGGAAUUGACGGGGGCCCCGCACAAGCGGAGGAACAUGUGGUUUAAUUCGAUGAUACGCGAGGAACCUUACCCGGGCUUGAAAGUUAGUGACGAUUCUGGAAACAGGAUUUCCCUUCGGGGCACGAAACUAGGUGCUGCAUGGUUGUCGU